rnacentral:tRNA from 1 species
GGCCGGUUAGCUCAGUGGGUUGAGCGCCGUGCUGGUAACACUGAGAUCGUAGGUUCAGUUCCCAUUCGGUCCG